CUGAACUCAUGCAGUAUAACAGAGCAAUAGUGAUAAAAACUGCAUGGCAUUGGUACAGAGACAGACAGAUAGACCAAUGGAAUAGAAUUGAAGACCCAGAAAUGAACCCAGACAACUAUGGUAACUUGGUUUUUAAAAAAGGAGCCAAAACUGUCCCCGCCAGCGGGGACCCAGUUAUUCAGGGUCCCGAAGAGGCUUUCUACCUGUGGGCCAAAAUGGGGGUGAAGAGAAGAAGGAGACCAAGCAAAAGUUCUGUUGUCAAGGUCUCGUUUAUUGGGAUGAACAUUGCAGCUUUUAAGGCUUUCAGGUAGGGGGAGUGACCUUUGUGAAAUAUGAAGGAGGGGGAGAUGAGGGUAUAGGCAGUGAUAGCUGGAGGCAAAGAAGUCAGGCGAUGAGGUCAGGUGGUGGAGACACUGGGUGUUGACUGAGGAGAUAACUGGUAUCUGCUUGAGCUGAGGCAUCCCUUGAAUGUUAUACUCCUGUGCCAUAAAUUCAUGGGAGAGGCUUUAUCCAAGAAUCUUAAGAUUUAUGGCAGUCAUCUUCAGGGUGAGUCUCUGUGGCCAAACAGCCCAGAGUCACUUUGAACUAUGCAGUCAAAAAGCGGCUAGGCCCAAAUCCAAUAUGGCUCCGUGCAUCUCCCCCAUUUUUCUUUAAAAAAAAAAAAAAAAAACAUUAGGUGGAAGUAGUGGUCUGAGAGAGAUCAGACAUGCCUCACAGAGUGCCCAGCUCGGCCAUGGCAAGCCACUCUUGCAGUUAGGACUGCACCCCAAUGGCUAGGAAUGAACUUAUGCUGUAACACACCGUUCUGGGCUAUACGUGUGUGUUAUUGGGGGAGAAACUGGGCAGAGGAGCAUUUGACCGGCCCGCACGUUUAAACGGGGUGUAGCCACCUCUGUCUUAGGAUCGACCUCUCAAACCCCAGCCUUCUCUGUCAUAGGAUCACCUUGUCGCCCCCAAGGUUCCUGUCUUAGAUUGGUCAAGGGUCAGAGGAAGUUGCCUGUCCCUGAGGAUAGCUACAUCAGGUCAUCUUCUCAUUCCUCUCACUUGAGCCCAGGGGCGAAAGAGCAAGGGCCAGAUGGCAUUAAUAUAAGAGAUUGUGGAAAUUGAGCCUCUCCCGAUAAGUUGUAGGCACCUCAUCUUGUUCGUUGUCUCUCUGGUUCUCCUCAGCUGUUCCGGUCUCCAAGCGAUGAUAAUGUACUGAAACAGAAUUUCUAGGCAAAGCAGAAUCUAUUUGUGAUUUAAUAAAGCGUGUAAGUCGUUGGAAGGCCCAAGGACCAAAGGAAAUCAACAAAAGUAGGCCCACAAGGGGUCCCAAAAUUGAGGGCAACAAGGUAGAGAGCCAUGGGGAUGUAGAAAACCAGUUUUGGUACCAAGACUCUUGUUGUUCUCUCUCUCUCCUUCGUUUUUCUAGGCUAUCUCUCACCUUUUUUAGACUGUCUUCUACAAGUCCAGUCUUAUCUACAUAAACACAGCAUUCCUCUUUUAAGGCUGCACAAAGUCCUCCUUGUUGUAGGAAGAUUAAGUCUAGGCCUCUUCUAUUUUGUAAGACUACUUCAGACAACGAGGCAACUGAGUCUUUUAAGUUAGCUAAUCCAUCUCUUAAUUCAGCAAUAUCCUUAUCUAUGGCUUCACUAAGCUGGUUAUAGUAUUGAUGGGAAGUAACGAGGGAAGCGAUGCCAGUGCCUGCACCUGCGGCCCCUAGACCUAGGAGAACGGCGAGAGUGAUGGCAGUUACUGGUUCUCUUUUUACCUUGUGAGGCAUAUCCGAGCCCUUUUCCCAGGAUUUAAGAAAAGUCUCUGGCUCAUGUAUGCUGAGUCUGGGAAAUAAUUGAACCAGCACACAGUAAUCUUUAGUCUUUAAAAAUUGAGAUGUUAUAACAUAUGUGGUUAGACCAGUGGAACAUGCUAGAUAAGUAUACUUGGGGGCUUGUAAAUAUGUAUUUUGAUUGUCAACGAUUAUGGUAUGAUUACAUAUUUCUAAUAAUUGUUUAGGGAGGAGCAUGUUCUUCCCGAGGAGGCAGCUUCCUAUCCCUGAGACUUUUGUGAUAGUGAGUUCUAUGGUGUUCCAAGAGAGACCACCAGUGUUAUUAGUAUAUGUGAUGUUGCCAAAAGUGGCUAUACCCUCAUAGAAAGGAGGGUUAGCUGAAAAACACAUCCAGCAUUCCUCAUAAAUAGAUGUAUUUGUUUCCUGUUCAUGAUAUACCAAGGCAAGAGCUGAGGCAUUAAGAACAGAUAAAAUCAGGCUUGUGGGGGACAUUGGCCCAACAGGUAUGGUGGGCUGAAAAAGGGUAGUUGGAGGACUAGAGGUGUUAAAGGGGGGCUGAGUCACCACCCUGGGUGGCAAGAAACCUUGGCUAUGCAAUUGAGGGUUAGGCCCAAUGGAGGCCUUAUGUAAGUUGGGGGUGGUUUUAAAUAAUCUAAUUUUGAAGGUUACUCCGGGAUCUCUAUUGGCAACAUACAUCCGGAGACCCCACUCAAACCCCCUAUGCCAGUUUUCUGGGGUGAUCUUUUUCCCAGCAUCUGUAAAAGUUAUUGUAAGAGGGUUGCACCAGCCCUUGGAAGGCUCAGUGUUCCGGCAUUCCUGGGUUAGAGUACUGUUUCUGUUAGAAUUGUGCCACCCCUUUUUUACUGUGAUAUAAUCCCAAGAGGAGGUAGGUUUCCAGUAUGCGUCUCCUGUGGUUUCACACCCCCAGGAGGCACAAUAGAAUUGAUCCCUGUAUCCACACUUAUAGUUUAGGGAGCGAUCUCUGUGGGAUCCGGGACAGACAUAAAAGUCAGUUUCCCUAAUGUUGGUGCAUCGAUGGACAGUGUCACAACCGACAUAUCUUUCAUUAAAACUAGACCCAUGAAGGACUUCAAUUAGGGGGCCGCUUGAACCUUUUCUUGAGGCAUGGACCACUGAUUGUUCCAGACUGGAUCAUUUGACUUCCAAGAUAUUUUAUCAGCCUGGAGUGCAGGAGGAACAGUGGUCUCUAUGAAAAAAGGUCAGGAGCUUUGAACUUUGGAGUGUAUCCUGUGUUUGACCUAUCCCUUUUCAAUGUGUGGCAGUAGCCUUAAGGGGCCAGGUUGAGGGCCAGUGUCUAGAGGAGAGCACUGUUGUAUCUGCCCCUGUAUCUAAAAGGCCCUGAAAUUGUUUGCCAUCAAGCCAAAGAGACAUCAGGGGUCUUUCAUAAGUUAAUUUUUGCACCCAAUAAACAUCUGAAGAGCCAGGGGAGGAAGAACCACGCCCCUUUACUUUAUGAGGGAACUGCCCCAUGAAGGGAAGCGGUAAGGCCUGUGCAAUGCGUUGUCCGGCUCUAAGCGUUAAGGGGCCCUGUGUGGCAGUGGCUAGAAAUUUUAUUUCUCCAGAAUAAUCAGCAUCUAUUACAGAGGGAAGGAUGACAAGUCCUUGAAGAGCACUCGAGGCUCGCCCAAUUAUUAAGAAAAACAUGCCAGGCGGCGGGGGCCCAAACUUUCCAGAUUCUAUGAUAUCAGUCCCUUCCUCAGGGGUUAUAAUCCUGGUGGUGGAAGAACAAAGGUCCACUCCUGCACUUCCUGCUGUUGCCCGGGAUAAGUUGGCGUUGCAGGAGCUUGAUGCUGCACUUGGGGGCGGGUGGUCACCCGUGGAUAGGGGCCCCAUUGUGGGGCCCCCCGCUCGUUUCCCUGGACCGCAGGGAGGGUUUGUCCACUAAUGUCAGUCUUAGACUGACAUUCCCUGGCCCAGUGACGGCCUUUCCUGCAGCGGGGACAAACCCUCGGGGCAGUGGGCCAUCCACCAGGGCUGGGGGACUGGCUAGGUUUUGGGAUGUUGCAUUCUCUAGCAAAAUGACCGGGUUGUCCACAUUUGAAACAUGUUCUGCCUCUAGGGUGACCAGAAUCUCCAGCUCUUUGGAACACAGCCCCAAUUGCCAGGCUGAUAGAUUUAGAUACUUGGUGAGAAAAAGAGUCGACAUCCUUGCAAAGUUUAAUCAUGCCUGGGAUAUCAAGGUCUUUGGUCUUGCCUCGAAGUGCAGCUCUACACGCCGAGUUAGCAUUUUCGAGAGCAAGAUGUCUAACGAGAAGCCCUUCACUUUCAUUUUGACCUAGGAUUCUUUCAGCUGCUUCUUGUAGUCUCCCUACAAAUUGAGCAUAGGGCUCUUGUGCCCCCUGGAUUAUUUUAGUUAAGGGGGUGGUGAGUGCCCCUGUAGCGGGGACUGCUCUCCAAGCGGACAAAGCCACCUGCGCCGUUUGUGCGAGUACACGGGGAGACAGCCCCAGCUGUUUUUCCUCAGAGGCAAAUGAGCCCCUCCCACAUAGCUUAUCUGCCGUCCAGGAAGCAGAUUUACUUAAGGGAUUGUUUCUGUUUCUAGCAGCAAGGCUCUCCGCUUUAUCAAUAAAUUCAGAUUUCCAAGUCAAAUAUUGUCCUCUAGUGAGGACAGAUUGUACUACCUUGGUCCAUUCACUAGGGGUCAAAUACCCAGACCCCGAAAGUCCUUCUAGGAUAGCCAAGGUAAAGGGGGCAUUCAUACCAUAAUUUUUAACAGCUGAAUGUAAUUCCUUUAUGUGUUUGAGUUUAAGUUUCUUGUAUACGGGACACGAGGUCCCACCCUCAUCCUGAUCAGGGCUUUCCUCUUCCGAAUCUGAGGGUCCCUCCUCAUAGUCAUUUUCUUCUUCACUUUCUUGUUCCU